UACGAAGGGGGCUAGCGUUGCUCGGAAUCACUGGGCGUAAAGCGCACGUAGGCGGAUUGUUAAGUCAGGGGUGAAAUCCUGGAGCUCAACUCCAGAACUGCCUUUGAUACUGGCGAUCUUGAGUCCGGGAGAGGUGAGUGGAACUCCAGGUGUAGCGGUGAAAUGCGUAGAUAUCUGGAGGAACACCGGUGGCGAAGGCGGCAUCCUGGACCGGCAUUGACGCUGAGGAGCGAAAGCCAGGGGAGCAAACGGG
rnacentral:rRNA from 1 species